AGGAAGUUAUUUUACAUAAGAAUGAUGGUUAAAUGCAGGUUAAACAACAUGGAGCACUGAGGAAUACUGAGCCAAGUGAAGCUUUUCCUCCUUUCAGACUGCAGAAACGUUUUCAUGAAUGUUCUUAAUGACUUCAUUCAGAAAGUCAUCGGAUCUGGCUCGCCUCUGCUUCUCACAGUGCUGUGAUUGGUCAUUCGUUCCAUAAUUUCAUGCCCAACAGACAGAGCGUGGGCAUGGAAAAUACUGUAGGUAAAUAAGGAAAAAGGAAAUAUUCUAACAGCGUACGUGUGGUGACAAACUGCAGGGUUCACACACAUCUUUCAUUUAAGAUUAACAUACAGUUCCAGACUCAACUUUCCUGGAAGGAACGGAGGUAGGGUGCAUAAAGGAAGGAAGGACACAAAGAUGCAACAAAGGAAGGAAGAAAGGAAACAAGGACGGAAGGAUGGAAAAAACAGAGAAAGGAAACAAGGACGGAAGGAUGGAAAAAAAAGAGAAAGGAAACAAGGACGGAAGGAUGGAAAAAACAGAGAAAGGAAACAAGGACGGAAGGAUGGAAAAAACAGAGAAAGGAAACAAGGACAUGAAGAACAGUCAUUGUUCAUUCAGUAGAAUGAGAUCUCCUAUGAGAUGGACGCAGAAUAAACAAUUUAUGGGCAGAGUGAUCUCUGUCACAAAGUUCUUUUUAUGAAGAUGGGUGAAGAACUGGAUCUAUAAUAAAGUAUUUGCUGAUA